rnacentral:misc_RNA from 1 species
AACCUAGCACACCUGCGGUGUGUACCUGCGGAGGGAUCAUCAUUGAAAACAAAUUUGGACAAGGGGAUAUUGUGAUUGAUGGGGGAGGGGAAGGUUUAUAUUUCCCGAGCCUUGAGAGAACAACCUCUUGGACAAACAACCAAUCUUCAUGACUAGGAAAAAAAACACAGUAAAGUAAACCAGUGGUUUGGGGGGGGGCAUAAACAACAAACAAACAAGUUCUUGUCUGACAAGUAGUGU